rnacentral:lncRNA from 10 species
GCAAUGCUGAUGAAUCUAUCUGAUCCUCACCAAGAUCCACUAAAGAAGGAGAUAUCAAAAAUUUGAAGAUAAAGAAAGAAAGGGAGUGGGGGAGAAAACACGUCCAUUGUCUGAAUCAGUUGUUCUCAAAAUGUAGCCUCUCAUCUAGCAGCACUGAUCACCUGGGAUAAAGUCUUGGGCCCCACCCCAGACCUAUUGAAUGAGAAACUGAAGAAACUGAGGGCUUAUGCUGGUCUCGCAAACAAAUACGAAGACUGACAGAUUCCUGUGAGUGCAGGCCUUCACAGUGCCAGGACCACAAGAUGUAAUGAAUUCUACUCCUGACUGGAUAUAAAAAAAAAGCCACGAAAUUUUCCUUUGACAUUCAGCCGGGGAGACCUCCUGGAGUUUAGAGGUGCCCAGACUGAUCUCUGCGGUGAAUGCUUUUAACCUGUCAACUGUGAUGAAACAAACAGAAAACCAAAGCCCUGGCUUCUUUGAGGUGCAACUAAAUGACCGAGAAGGUGUUACCUAAGACCUCUACGGCCAUUUGUAUCUGGCCCUGUGUAGAGUGGGCUCUGCAAGACCCUGCCUCACUUUCCCACUAAGAGGCCUUGGACUUCCCAGCUCCCAGAGACUAUAGAGAUCGCCUCUGAGGCCUCCUGUCACGAUUUCCUAAGGUGAGGAACUUCAUUUGCCCAACGGAGGCCCACGUUCUGCCUGUUUGAUCUACUGUCUUCCCAAGGAUCUGACCUCGGGGACCAGCGUCUGCCCACGUGUCCGACGAAAACAAUGUCAAGGAACUACUGAGUCUGGACAGAAAAUCCAGACACACCAUGCAGCUUCUAAGAGGACCGAGUGCCCUCAUUGGCAUAGAGUGAGUCUCCUGUGGACAUGGACAGGGAACAGCUCGAUUAAGCCCAGAUUCACAAAAUUCCGCCCACACCCCGUGACCCCGGGAAUUUUGGCUUAGGGGCAGGAUGUGGGGGUUACCACUGUGCUGGUGGAGGUGGCGUGGGCCCGACCGGCAGCCCCAGCGCAGUUCUCCCCACGUUUGCCCGCAGAACCCCGGCGAGGCCGAGGUGGUCAUUUCCCUCGCUAGCCGGAGGGCCGCGCCGGGUGAGGCCGGUUUGGGCGCGAAGCACGGGCGUGUGGCCCUCCACUUCCGCAAAGGCCAGGCGCUCUCAGGACCGCGAGCCCUGAGCGUCCGCCUGAUGACCCCUGGCCUCGGGACCGACGCCCCGUCCCUCCUGCCCUGCCUCCCCCCGCCACAGCCCCCAAGCCGGCGCCAAGGAAAGCGGCCGCAGCCCGGCCAGUCCGGAUAGGCCAACUGGCCGAAGUCGGCAGAGCUCAAGAUGGCACCGCAGCAGGGGACCUGACUUGUCAACCGGCCCCGUGUUUUGUUGGGAGCCCAACCGGAAGCGCCUUCCCCGCUCUAAUGCCGGAGGGGGAGCACGGAGGGCAAGCGGUACAGCUUCUUCCAAGUGCUGAUGUGGGUGGCUCUGAAAAGAGCCUUUUGGAUACGAUGGAACCUCCGACCGAACGCGCACUUCUUAAGCCCGCUCACCACGGAUGCGGCGGGCCAGCUGGAUGUCCUUGGGCAUGAUGGUCACGCGCUUGGCGUGGA